UACGAAGGGAGCUAGCGUUGUUCGGAAUCAUUGGGCGUAAAGCGCACGUAGGCGGCCUUGUAAGUCGGAUGUGAAAUCCCUCGGCUCAACCGAGGAAGUGCAUCCGAAACUGCGAGGCUCGAGUAUGGAAGAGGGUCGCAGAAUUCCCGGUGUAGAGGUGAAAUUCGUAGAUAUCGGGAGGAAUACCAGUGGCGAAGGCGGCGACCUGGGCCAAUACUGACGCUGAGGUGCGAAAGCGUGGGGAGCAAACAGG
rnacentral:rRNA from 1 species